ACAGAAGGUAAAUUCUGUAGCCAAUAAGAGCCCACGCUGUGGCGGAGGUAGCCAAUGGCUGACGGAAAGAGGAAGAGGGAGGCCGCGCCAAUUCUCUUGCUUUAGCCUCGGCCCUACAAAAUGGCGUCGGCGUCGGCGUCGCUUUGUUUCCGCGGCUCCUGCGGCGGUGACAGUGGUAGCGGCCUUUAAGCUGUGGGGAGGAUCCAUCACCAGCUACAGUGACUACUAAGACUCCAGUGCAUUUCUAUCGUAAUCGGGUGCAGUGGCGCGCAUAGCGGCGCGCAAGUGUCGCAGAAGCCAACAGGGCGUUCAAGCGAAAACAUGACUGCUGAGCCCAUGAGUGAAAGCAAGUUGAAUACAUUGGUGCAGAAGCUUCAUGACUUCCUGGCACAUUCAUCAGAAGAGUCUGAAGAAACAAGUUCUCCUCCACGACUUGUGAUGAACCAAAGCACAGGUAAACUGAAAAAGAAUCUAUAUCGUCUACCAUGUUUUUGUUUAGUUUUUGGAGGAAGCAGCUAUUAAAGGCUUUCAAUUUGUGGAAAAUGAAAUUAGUAACCUUCUUGAAAACUCCUGUUUUACAUCUUUGCUAAUAUCUAAGAGAUUUUAAUUUUGAUAAGUAAAGAUGUAAGUUUGUGGGGACUUAGAGAAGGAAGAACUUAAUACAGUUUGUGCAUAAUGGAAAUGUCUGAUAGAGAAGGAGUGGUGAAUAAUGAAUGUGAAUCAUAAUGAAUACAUAGUAUUAUAGGUGGCAGUAGUACUUAUUCUAGUAGUUACUUGUGUAGUAGGAAGUAAAUUUUUAUGUUGUUUGAUAACAUCUGAGUAGAUUUAGUAAUUUAAAACAAUAAAACCACUUAAGCCUUCUUUUUCUCCUUUUUGUUUAAAAAAUAUCCUGUUAUGUGAUGAUUACCAUUUUCAUGUAGCUAUACACACACACACACACACACACACACACACACACACACACACGAUAUGUAGAAAAAAAUGAAAGGUAAAUCAUAGUAAAAAGUUCAACCAUGCAUGUAAUUAGAGUUCCAGAAGGAGAAAAGAGAAUGGGUCAGAAUUUGAAUUUGAAGAGUUACUGGCUAAGCAUUUUCCAGAAGUGAUGAAAAGCAUCAAGCCACAGGUUCAAGAAUUUCUGUAAAUCCAAGCAGGACACAUACGAAGAGAAAUACAACUAAA
rnacentral:lncRNA from 1 species